UCUCUGUUAGUAUAUCGGUUAGUACACGCGCCUGUCAUUGAUAAUGGCCGCGCGAAAGCGGGGUUCGACUCCCCGACAGAGAG
rnacentral:tRNA from 1 species